AACGAACGCUGGCGGCAGGCUUAACACAUGCAAGUCGAGCGCCCCGCAAGGGGAGCGGCAGACGGGUGAGUAACGCGUGGGAACGUACCCUUUGCUACGGAAUAGCUCCGGGAAACUGGAAUUAAUACCGUAUGUGCCCUACGGGGGAAAGAUUUAUCGGCAAAGGAUCGGCCCGCGUUGGAUUAGCUAGUUGGUGGGGUAAUGGCCUACCAAGGCGACGAUCCAUAGCUGGUCUGAGAGGAUGAUCAGCCACAUUGGGACUGAGACACGGCCCAAACUCCUACGGGAGGCAGCAGUGGGGAAUAUUGGACAAUGGGCGCAAGCCUGAUCCAGCCAUGCCGCGUGAGUGAUGAAGGCCUUAGGGUUGUAAAGCUCUUUCACCGGAGAAGAUAAUGACGGUAUCCGGAGAAGAAGCCCCGGCUAACUUCGUGCCAGCAGCCGCCGUAAUAC
rnacentral:rRNA from 1 species